UACCAGCCAGCCUUAGCAUCAUGUGUAAC
rnacentral:sRNA from 1 species